UGAAUAAACAAGAACUUACUAACUAGGAAUUUUAACCUAGUUAGCUAAUAUUCUAGAAGUAACUUAUGAUAGGGUUAAAAACAACCAAAACUAUAUGUCAAACAAAAGAUGAGGGGCCUAAGUUGUAAGAAAUUGAAAUUAUAUUACUAAUUUUAAUAAAAAUCAAAACCAAACACCCAUUAAGGAUGUCUGGUCGUACAGGAAAGGGCAGGGGCGACUCCCCACUCUUCAAAACCCUAGAAACUUCACUAAUCUUGCAAAUUGAAGGUCCAAUUCAGUCCAAAAUCGAAAUUUAAGCAUGGAUUAUUGAUCCUCAUCACAAGAGGAUUAAAAGAAACAUGAUGAACACUAGAAUCAUAAUGGUUAAAUUGUGUUAAUAGAACUCACUGAAGUUAGAUUUGAAGUUUGAUGUUAGUACUUGUUAAUUUUGCUAGAAUUUAAGGGUUUAGAACACUUAAAUGGGCUGGAGAAAUUUGAUGUUUCGUGUUGCACACAAGGUGCUUGUUAAAAUGCUUGAACAAGAAAAUAUAACAAAGCCGAUUGGAAAUAAAAUUAUUGGGCUGCAGUUUUAAAAAAAUCAUAUAAAAUUACUGGAACGGCCUGUGAGGUUGAGCCUUAUAUGCUCAGAAAGCUAUUAAAACAUACUACGUUUAAUGUUUGAACAUGUUUGUUAAAUUCUGAUGUUAAACGGGUCAAAACAGUGUCCGAAGUAGGCUGAACUGUUUUGACAGCAAGCUGAUUGGAAAAAAAAAAUUGUUGGGCUGCAGUUUUUAAAAAAUCAUAUAAAAUCACUGGAACAUCCUGUGAGGUUGAGCCUUAUAUGCUCAGAAAGCUAUUAAAACAUACUACGUUUUAUGUUUGGACAUGUUUGUUAAAUUCUGAUGUUAAACGGGUCAAAACAGUGUCCGAAGUCGGCUGAACUGUUUUGACAGCAAGCUGACAGGAAGCAUUUUUUUUUACUUCAGAGCUGAUUUUGUAAAAAUCAUAUAAAAUCAUAGGAACAUCGUUAGAAAACGUACCAUAUAUGCCUAGAAAGCUAUUUCAGAGUUCUACGAUCCGUUUUUGAACAUGUUGAUCUAAUUCAACUUUUAAAUGGGUCAAAAUGGUCAAUUACAGCAGCUGAAUACAAAAUCGCUGCACUUUAGUAAUGUUCUUAUUAACCAAGAAAAAGACAUAUGAUUGCGUAUACUUGUUUAGUCAUGAAGUAUUUAUUGUUAGGAACAAGUAACACUUUAUAUGACAUGCUUAAAGUGUUCAAAAAACUAGUUUGUAUAAAUAAUUUGACUAACGGGUCAAACGGUUAGUGAAUGGAAAGAAUUAUGACAAAAAAAUAAAUAAGUAAAUAAUAUAGUUGUUGAAUAAAUAGCAUACUUUGGUGAAUAAGUGUGUGAAUCCAUAAGGUGUGAUGGUCAUGUUAAUGGUUGACUAAUCUAAUCAUCUUGUGGAUAUGAUAUGGUAGUUUGACUCUGACAAGCUAGGUAGGAGCUUGGAAAUGAACGGGUCAAAUGGAUACAAGUUCAAGUAUGAAGCUCGCAAGGAUGCAAGGUAAGUAUAACUUACACUAGUCAUAUAUUUUAAAAUGUUCUUUUGUCAUAUUGACUACGAAUAAGACAAAUGGUAAUUUAGUCACACGUUGACAAUAAUCGUUAGUUUUAAAAGACGCUUUCCCGCGAAAGACAUAAAGAGCCGAAAAUGGUAAUAAACGGUUUAUAAAUAAAAUGAGCAUACGGUGUUAAAAGGAGCGAGUCAUGUAGAUGAGAUGAUAAUAAAUAUUAUCUCGCAAAGAUAAACGGUCAAUUCGGCCAAACGGGUCAAAAGGUGUAGACAUCACCUUUUGACGAUAUCGACUAAUGAUUCUGGUGUCGAGUUAUAUGUUUACAGGAGUAGAUAUCCAAUGGAUACUCGCAUCGCUCUUAAUUAGCAAUUAUAAAGCAAGGUAUUAAACCGGGUUAGUAAGUUGAUCCGAGCCAGGUAUGUAUAAUAGAUUAACUUAUCAUGUAGAACUUGAAGUUCUAUGAAAGUUAGGCAAAAUAAAAAAAAAGGCAUUCGGUUACCUUAAUAGGUAAACCGAAGGAUUUAAAUUAUUUAGACAGAAUGUUUUGAAAACAAGAUUUGGUUAAAAAUGAGAAAUUAGAAUCAAACAACAGGUUUGUUUGAUAAAUCACGAACGGGUCAAAUUUGGUAAAAAGGGUUAAUAAGCCGAAGACUUAAAAGUCUUAAAAUUUUGUUAAUCCAGAUGUUGGGUCUUGACUCCAUUUGAUGGAGGUUCAAUUUACAAUCACGUAGGAAGAAACGGUAGGUCAAACAGACGAGCGGUUUGAAAGAUACGAAAGUUUUCGUGUCAAAAACGGCAAAAAGGAAAGGAAUGAUGCAGGGGCCACCGUAACUUACGGUGCCACCGUAAGUUACGGUGGACAUGAUUUGGUUACGGUAAAUGCCUACUGUUGUACGGUUGAAUAAUUGAAACACAGAGACCACGGUAACUUACGGUGCCACCGUAAGUUACGGUGGAGGUCAGAAAUGAGUUUUUAUUUUGGGUUUAAGAUAUCCAUGUGGGAUUUUCCUAAUUUCCCCAUUGUAUUAGUUUAAUUAAUUAUCAAAACUGACCUUUAAGUUGGUUUUGAUCACAGGUGAAUGUCGAGGGUCCCGGAUGAAGAUCGAGCAUCGAGCAAGAACCGAACACACACUAAAUAAAGCUUCCGCAACGUUGUUUUGUCGUUAUUCUAAACGGUGAUUUAAAUCACAUUAUGUAUAUCACUUAAAUUGUAAAAGUUUUUAAUAAACCCGCAUUUUGUACAGUAUGUGUGGUCUUAACUACACAUCUAAUUGUGGUAUUUUCAUGUAAAAUUGUAAUUUAGUAACUAGGGUGUUACAAGUUGGUAAUCAGAGCUCAUGGUUAAAGAUUAAGGUGUGUUCGGUUCGAGGCUUGAUCGCAAAUCCGGUAAGUACGUAUAUGUUAAUAGCUUAGCAUGCUAAAGUGUUGUAAACAACACAUAGGGCUAUCGUGUGAUACACGUUACCCCAAUUAAAAUGAUUAAUAUGGUUGACGAAAAUACGCGCGUUGACGCGUAUAGUAAAAAAAAAAAAAAAGCCUUAUAUUAUAAUACGGGCGAUUAUUGAAGUUGAAAUUACUAACUCUUGUGAAUGUUUUAAUUGAAGGACACUCGCGUCUGAAGAUGACGAGAGUUGAACAAAUUGCGGAUAUGAUGAUGGAACGGUCCGAGAUGUGACAAGAAGAGCAUACUCAUCAAGGACCUAAAUCGCGUAACGAUCGCAAAUAAGUAAUGGCAAGGAAUGCCCGUCGGGGCAAGCAUUACCAGUUUGACUCUGACAAGCUAGGUAGGAGCUUGGAAAUGAACGGGUCAAAUGGAUACAAGUUCAAGUAUGAAGCUCGCAAGGAUGCAAGGAGUAGAUAUCCAAUGGAUACUCGCAUCGCUCUUAAUUAGCAAUUAUAAAGCAAGGUAUUAAACCGGGUUAGUAAGUUGAUCCGAGCCAGGUAUGUAUAAUAGAUUAACUUAUCAUGUAGAACUUGAAGUUCUAUGAAAGUUAGGCAAAAUAAAAAAAAAAAAAAAGGCAUUCGGUUACCUUAAUAGGUAAACCGAAGGAUUUAAAUUAUUUAGACAGAAUGUUUUGAAAACAAGAUUUGGUUAAAAAUGAGAAAUUAGAAUCAAACAACAGGUUUGUUUGAUAAAAUCACGAACGGGUCAAAUUUGGUAAAAAGGGUUAAUAAGCCGAAGACUUAAAAGUCUUAAAAUUUUGUUAAUCCAGAUGUUGGGUCUUGACUCCAUUUGAUGGAGGUUCAAUUUACAAUCACGUAGGAAGAAACGGUAGGUCAAACAGACGAGCGGUUUGAAAGAUACGAAAGUUUUCGUGUCAAAAACGGCAAAAAGGAAAGGAAUGAUGCAGGGGCCACCGUAACUUACGGUGCCACCGUAAGUUACGGUGGACAUGAUUUGGUUACGGUAAAUGCCUACUGUUGUACGGUUGAAUAAUUGAAACACAGAGACCACCGUAACUUACGGUGCCACCGUAAGUUACGGUGGAGGUCAGAAAUGAGUUUUUAUUUUGGGUUUAAGAUAUCCAUGUGGGAUUUUCCUAAUUUCCCCAUUGUAUUAGUUUAAUUAAUUAUCAAAACUGACCUUUAAGUUGGUUUUGAUCACAGGUGAAUGUUGAGGGUCCCGGAUGAAGAUCGAGCAUCGAGCAAGAACCGAACACACACUAAAUAAAGCUUCCGCAACGUUGUUUUGUCGUUAUUCUAAACGGUGAUUUAAAUCACAUUAUGUAUAUCACUUAAAUUGUAAAAGUUUUUAAUAAACCCGCAUUUUGUACAGUA